GUGGGGAAUAUUGCACAAUGGGCGCAAGCCUGAUGCAGCCAUGCCGCGUGUAUGAAGAAGGCCUUCGGGUUGUAAAGUACUUUCAGCGGGGAGGAAGGUGUUGUGGUUAAUAACCGCAGCAAUUGACGUUACCCGCAGAAGAAGCACCGGCUAACUCCGUGCCAGCAGCCGCGGUAAUACGGAGGGUGCAAGCGUUAAUCGGAAUUACUGGGCGUAAAGCGCACGCAGGCGGUCUGUCAAGUCGGAUGUGAAAUCCCCGGGCUCAACCUGGGAACUGCAUUCGAAACUGGCAGGCUAGAGUCUUGUAGAGGGGGGUAGAAUUCCAGGUGUAGCGGUGAAAUGCGUAGAGAUCUGGAGGAAUACCGGUGGCGAAGGCGGCCCCCUGGACAAAGACUGACGCUCAGGUGCGAAAGCGUGGGGAGCAAACAGGAUUAGAAACCCGUGUAGUCC
rnacentral:rRNA from 1 species